GCUUACAUGGUUGUUAACUUUAGAAUUAGUAUAAUUAGUCAAGGUACGCCCAAGUUAAUCCAAACAUUCAUAUUAAUUAAAAAAACAAAAAAUAAUAAGUGACAUAUCCUACAAUGUGGCAUGGAACACCAUCUAAUUAUGUUUACUAUGGAUCUAGAGAUAAUUUAUUAUGGAUUUGCACAAAGAUAUUAGCUUCUUCUUUCUCUCUUCUUACCGUGAUUUUGUUUCUCCCUUUCCUCUCUCCUCAUCUCCCGGAAUUCACCUGACCGAUUUUGUUGUUCUUCUUUCCUCUCUCUCACAUGCCUGUUUUCCCUCUCUACACAACCUCUCUUUCCAAACAAUCACACACCUUUUGUCUUCUUCGCCGUCGAUGACCAAUGCAGCUCCCGACUACACACGAUCGAUGAUGGGUAGAUACUGGGUUGUUCAUUGCCUUUCUGAGAUCUAAGGGGCUGCUUAUUUUGCUUUAUAGAUACUGGGUUGUUCGUUUGGGAUUGCCUAUGGCGGAAAAUUUGAAAACUUCCUGGCAAUCCUCACUCACACCCACUCUUAUGUCUCCCUUGCUUUCAAUUCAUGAUCUGCUUUUAUUGUUGUUCUAUCUAUGUUUUGGGCUGCUUCUCCAUCUAUAUUUGCACCUUUUCCUCCUCUUUAAACCGCGAAUUUCAUCCCCCAACCUAUGUUGAUCAGGAUCUUAUUUUUCAGCUAUGAAUUUGUAUCAUCAACCCUAGCCUGGCAAUCGUGUGAUAAUCAAAUAACUCAAUUGACAAUGUUUAUUGAUUUUUUCUUGCAGUCAUGGAACUAAUUCGGUCGUUUUCUUUUUAAUUGAUUUGUUCUUGCAUUGUUGGGUUCUUUCUCAUCUUUUCUUCACAUUAAUUGUCAUAUAACCCUACGUAUGAAGAAGGAAAUUUUCUGUUUUUUUACUCUUUUUUUUCUUGCAUUGUUUUUUCAUGCUUCGAGUGCUGCAACUUAUUAUUGGAGCUUGGGUUUCCCAAUUUUUCUUUACAUCUCUAGCUUUUAUCUGUUGUGUUUGGCCAUUUAUUUGCAG
rnacentral:lncRNA from 1 species